GGGGGCGCAAUGGUUUCGACGGGGGCAAGUUGCUCCUGGGAAGCGAGUCGAAGGGAUCCUGUACCUGCGUUAAAAAACUGGGAACUUAAAUAUAAUUGCAAACGAUAAUUUUGCAUUAGCUGCCUAAUAGUUGCAGCUCGUCAGCCUAAGAGUCCCACGACUUAGGGUCUGGCGUCGACAGUGGGGAACCGAGCCUUACAAAGCUUUGAGUAAGGAACGGAAUUAAUGAAGCUACUGAAUCUAAGAGCCUGUUUAUCGGCGCUUAGAGGAGGGAAUGUAAAAGGAUAAACUGCACUCGGAGAUGCCCAGGGGUUGCUGCUUUCGGACAGGGGUUCGAUUCCCCUCGCCUCCACCA
rnacentral:tmRNA from 1 species